rfam:Equus caballus chromosome 5, whole genome shotgun sequence.
GUGGCUGGCGGCUGGGUGCCUUCUACUGGUGCUGUGCAGAGGCUUUCCCUAAGGCUGCUGUGAGCCUGUAGGGUCUCCCCCUAGGCUAUGAAGCUGG